UGGGGAAUAUUGCACAAUGGGCGCAAGCCUGAUGCAGCCAUGCCGCGUGUAUGAAGAAGGCCUUCGCGUUGUAAAGUACUUUCAGUCGGGAGGAAGGUGUCAAGGUUAAUAACCUUGGCAAUUGACGUUACCGACAGAAGAAGCACCGGCUAACUCCGUGCCAGCAGCCGCGGUAAUACGGAGGGUGCAAGCGUUAAUCGGAAUUACUGGGCGUAAAGCGCACGCAGGCGGUUGAUUGAGUCAGAUGUGAAAUCCCCGGGCUUAACCCGGGAAUUGCAUCUGAUACUGGUCAGCUAGAGUCUUGUAGAGGGGGGUAGAAUUCCAUGUGUAGCGGUGAAAUGCGUAGAGAUGUGGAGGAAUACCGGUGGCGAAGGCGGCCCCCUGGACAAAGACUGACGCUCAGGUGCGAAAGCGUGGGGAGCAAACAGG
rnacentral:rRNA from 1 species